rnacentral:tRNA from 1 species
GCCGGGAUGGUGGAAUAGGUAGACACGCAAGACUUAAAAUCUUGUGAGAGCAAUCUCGUACGGGUUCGAUUCCCGUUCCUGGUACGA